GACGAACGCUGGCGGCGUGCUUAACACAUGCAAGUCGAACGGUGAAGCGCUUGCCUUUUUGGUGGGUGUGGAUGAGUGGCGAACGGGUGAGUAACACGUGAGUAACCUGCCCUCUUCUUCUGGAUAACCUCAUGAAAGUGGGGCUAAUACGGAGUAUUCCGGGUCUGUCGCAUGGCGGGUUUGGGAAAGAUUGCGCCUUUGGGUGUUUUCGGUGGGGGAUGGGCUCGCGGCCUAUCAGCUUGUUGGUGGGGUGAUGGCCUACCAAGGCGGUGACGGGUAGCCGGCCUGAGAGGGUGGACGGCCACACUGGGACUGAGACACGGCCCAGACUCCUGCGGGAGGCAGCAGUGGGGAAUAUUGCACAAUGGGCGCAAGCCUGAUGCAGCGACGCCGCGUGAGGGAUGGAGGCCUUCGGGUUGUGAACCUCUUUCGCCAGUGAAGCAGGCCUGCUCCUGUGUGGGUGGGUUGACGGUAGCUGGAUAAGAAGCGCCGGCUAACUACGUG
rnacentral:rRNA from 1 species